rnacentral:rRNA from 1 species
UACGAAGGGGGCUAGCGUUGCUCGGAAUCACUGGGCGUAAAGCGCACGUAGGCGGAUUGUUAAGUCAGGGGUGAAAUCCUGGAGCUCAACUCCAGAACUGCCUUUGAUACUGGCGAUCUUGAGUCCGGGAGAGGUGAGUGGAAUUCCUGGUGUAGCGGUGAAAUGCGCAGAUAUCAGGAGGAACACCGAUUGCGAAGGCAGCUCGCUGGAACGUUACUGACGCUGAGACGCGAAAGCGUGGGGAGCAAACAGG